CGCUAUUACACAUAGACAUGUCUGAGAGUGUAGGCAUGCAUCGAAAGCAACAUGUCGAAAGCAAAGCAGAAGUGUGAAUGUGAGCAAGUAACAGCCAACUAGCCAUCCAUCAAGGCUACAAAUAACUUACACGUACCAACUAGACAGUCAUCUUGUGAGCCAGUCAGCCUACCAACCACUCAGUCAUCUUUUGAGCCAAUCAGCCUACCAACCAGCCAGUCAUCUUUUGAGCCAAUCAGCCUACCAACCAGCCAGUCAUCAAUUGAACCAAUCAGCCCACCAACCAUUCAGUCAUCUUUUGAACCAAUCAGCCCACCAACCAGCCAGUCAUCAUUUGAACCAAUCAGCCCACCAACCAGCCAGUCAUCUUGUCAACCAAUCAGCCCACCAACCAGCCAGUCAUCUGUUGAACCAAUCAGCCCACCAACCAGCCAGUCAGUCAUCUUGUGAACUAGUCAUGCUAGAUAACCAGCAAGUAGCCAGGCAUCAGUGUUACUUCAAGUCUGUACCAAUCAUGCAGUGGAUUAGCACAGGUUGACCAUUGACUUUUGGCAACGUCAGGCCAUCAUCCUACCCUAUCUGAUAGAACACCUCAAAGGAAAAAAACAAGCAGCCAUUUCCUGCAAGGUAAACAGUGUGAUAAACAGCAGCAUCCAUUGUUGCCAUGACAACAGCUUUGCAUCCAGAGAGUUCAAGUCCAGCCAUCUGUUUUCAUCAGAAAUGAGAGGGCCUGGGUCAGUCAUGACACAAACGCACACGCAAGCUUCAUUGGCUGUCAAAGGUCACUUGGCAAGGAAUUUCAGCUGGGCUGUCCUCCGUUGUCUUCAGUGUCUCCUCAUUACGAGACUGAGUUCAAGAUGUCUUCAGCAACGUUAUACAUCA